rnacentral:rRNA from 1 species
CCUACGGGAGACAGCAGUGGGGAAUAUUGGGCAAUGGGCGCAAGCCUGACCCAGCAACGCCGCGUGAAGGAAGAAGGCUUUCGGGUUGUAAACUUCUUUUGACAGGGAAGAGCAGAAGACGGUACCUGUCGAAUAAGCCACGGCUAACUACGUGCCAGCAGCCGCGGUAAUACGUAGGUGGCAAGCGUUGUCCGGAUUUACUGGGUGGAAAGGGCGUGUAGCCGGGCUGACAAGUCAGAUGUGAAAUCCGGGGGCUCAACCCCCGAACUGCAUUUGAAACUGUUGGUCUUGAGUAUCGGAGAGGCAGGCGGAAUUCCUAGUGUAGCGGUGAAAUGCGUAGAUAUUAGGAGGAACACCAGUGGCGAAGGCGGCCUGCUGGACGACAACUGACGGUGAGGCGCGAAAGCGUGGGGAGCAAACAGGAUUAGAUACCCGAGUAGUC